GAUCCGCUAUUUUCGUGCAGAAGGGGUCGAAAAUUGGCGAUAACACCGAUGCGAACGCUGUAUUAAACCUAAAUUUUCCCACUCCUCCAUUUGUCUGUGAUCUCUCUCUCUCUGCAAAACUUCUCUUCUACACUCUUCUUCAUCGUCGAAGCAAUAACAAUGUCGUGCUACAAGGGAAAAUACGCCGAUGAACUGAUCAAGAAUGCUGCAUACAUAGCUACCCCUGGUA
rnacentral:misc_RNA from 1 species